rfam:Valsa mali strain 03-8 chromosome 6, whole genome shotgun sequence.
GGCACUUUGGCGGAGUGGUUAACGCGCUGGCCUGCUAAAUUCCUCAUGGGUUUAACAGUUAAGCCAGUUCCUUCGGGAGCGUGUGUUCGAAUCACACAGGUGUCG